GCUUACGGCCAUACCAGCCUGGGUACGCCCGAUCUCGUCUGAUCUCAGAAGCUAAGCAGGGUCGGGCCUGGUUAGUACUUGGAUGGGAGACCGCCUGGGAAUACCAGGUGCUGUAAGCA
rnacentral:rRNA from 1 species